rnacentral:rRNA from 1 species
GACAUAGGUGGCGAACGUUAUCCGGAAUUAUUGGGCGUAAAGGAUGCGUAGAUGGUAGAAUAAGUUGCUGGUCGAUGCCAAACUCAAUUUGACGGAAGCUGGCAAUACUGUUCUGCUAGAGGGCAGGAGAGGUUGAUGGAAUUCUGUGUGGAGCGGUGAAAUGCGCAGAUAUCAGGAGGAACACCGGUGGCGAAGGCGGGUCUCUGGGCCGAUACUGACGCUGAGGAGCGAAAGCGUGGGGGAGCGAACAGG